rnacentral:rRNA from 1 species
UACGGAGGGGGCUAGCGUUGUUCGGAAUUACUGGGCAUAAAGCGCACGUAGGCGGUCCGUUAAGUCAUGUGUGAAAUCCCCCGGCUCAACCGGGGAAUUGCGCCUGAUACUGGCGGGCUAGAGGUCGAUAGGGGUGAGCGGAACUCCAGGUGGAGCGGUGAAAUGCGUAGAUAUCUGGAGGAACACCGGUGGCGAAAGCGGCUCACUGGAUCGAAACUGACGCUGAGGUGCGAAAGCUAGGGUAGCAAACGGG